GGAGGGUGCGAGCGUUAAUCGGAAUUACUGGGCGUAAAGCGCGCGCAGGCGGCUGGGUCAGUCGGAUGUGAAAGCCCCGGGGCUUAACCUGGGAAUUGCAUUCGAUACUGCCUGGCUAGAGUAUGGGAGAGGGAAGUGGAAUUUCCGGUGUAGCGGUGAAAUGCGUAGAUAUCGGAAGGAACACCAGUGGCGAAGGCGGCUUCCUGGCCCAAUACUGACGCUCAGGUGCGAAAGCGUGGGGAGCAAACAGGAUUAGAUACCCUGGUAGUCCACGCUGUAAACGAUGAGAACUAGAUGUUGGGAGGGUUAGCCUCUCAGUGUCGCAGCUAACGCGUUAAGUUCUCCGCCUGGGGAGUACGACCGCAAGGUUG
rnacentral:rRNA from 1 species